CACACGAGGGUUUUACUGUCUCUUGCUUCCAAUCAGUGAAAUUGACCUUCCCGUGAAGAGGCGGGAAUAUAUUAAUAAGACGAGAAGACCCUAUGGAGCUUUAACUACUUAGCCCAAAGAAACAAAAUUUAUUUCUAAGGAAACAACAACAUUCUUUAUGGACUAACAGCUUUGGUUGGGGUGACCUCGGAGAAUAAGAAAUCCUCCGAGCGAUUUUAAAGACUAGACCCACAAGUCAAAUCACAUAAUCGCUUAUUGAUCCAAAAAAAUUGAUCAACGGAACAAGUUACCCUAGGGAUAACAGCGCAAUCCUAUUCGAGA
rnacentral:rRNA from 1 species